UACGGGGGGGGCAAGCGUUGUUCGGAAUUACUGGGCGUAAAGCGUCCGCAGGUGGCAAUGUAAGUCUGCUGUUAAAGAGUCUAGCUCAACUAGAUAAGAGCAGUGGAAACUACAUAGCUAGAGUACGUUCGGGGCAGAGGGAAUUCCUGGUGUAGCGGUGAAAUGCGUAGAGAUCAGGAAGAACACCAGUGGCGAAGGCGCUCUGCUAGGCCGUAACUGACACUGAGGGACGAAAGCUAGGGGAGCGAAUGGG
rnacentral:rRNA from 1 species